UACGGCUUGGAUCCCACAGUGCUGUGGCUGUGGCCAGCAGCUAUAGCUCCAAUUAUACCCCUAGCCUGGGAACCUCCAUAGGGUGAGGGUGUGGCCCUAAUAAGCAAAAAAAAAAAAAAAAAAAAAAAUGUGAAUCGUUGUGUUGUACUCCUGAGACUUAUGCAAUAUUGUAUAUCAGUUAUAAAAAAAAAGAAAUGUAAAUUGUAAGGGUCCACCCCAGACCUGUUCAUCAGAAGCUCUAGGGGUGGGGCCUGGUUUUCAUAAGCCUCCAGGCGGCUCCCAUGUGACUUCCAGUUUGAGAACCACUGCACCAUCACACACUGAGACCUCAAAGGAGUAGAAACACCAGAGUACUCUGAAGGUGAAAGAAUCCUCAGGUAUAGGCAGAGUCAGCCAUCUGGGAACACUGCUGGGAGGACACUGGACUCGGGGUGGUUUACACGUGGCAGAGUUGUGCGCUCAGAGCAGUCAAACUGCAUUUAUUCUCCAAAUUACAGACACUCAUAAAACAAUAACUCCAAGGAAGGAUGUGUCCUUGCAGAUGAAGAGAGUUUUAGGAGGGAGAUCUCUGGCAAGUGAGUAAUUUGGAGACUAAAUUUAAAAAGGACAAGGAAAACCAGGAGAUCUGAAGGCUGUAUUGGUGGCUGGAGGAAGGAGCAUCGGGAUGGGAAGGACUCUACUGUGGGUUCCAGGGAUCCAGCCCUGUCCAAAUUCUGUGCACUAUCCCUCAGUGAGAAAUGAAACAUGGCCCUUGUGUGGGAAGUAAAUGCCACACAAGGGACAACCAGGUGGCUGAGGGUGGCUGGGGCCUCGGGAGGAGGCUCCAGGACAGGAACAGGAUCACAACAGGGGUCAGGAUGAUGACGAGAAUGUGGACCGAAGAGGGUUGCUCGAAGCCUGGAGUGGGGCAGUUUGUAUCCCCUGCAGAGCUGAUCCUCAGGCUGCGCCCCAAGCUGGCAGCCAGACCCUUGACCUGAGGUAGGCUGUCAGGGUUCCUGGACAAGCUUCACCUUUCAGAUGAGGAAACCAAGCCCCUGGGAGAGAGGCACCUCCCCUGAGAUGAUCAGUGGUACAGCCACAGCUAAAGCCUGCGCUCAGCUCCUGGACCGCACUUCUCCUCUGUGAAGACAGAUAGGAAGCAUGGCUGUGUCCUGUUUGGGGGGGUCAAGAUCACAUGAACACAUCACCCAGAGAGUGGCCAGGCCUGUGCGUGAUGGUAGAGGACAGACGUGCUCAGAGUUCAGCGUGGAGCUGGAGGGCCACCUAAAAUAAAGCCACGCUGAAACGUGAGUCACAGGGUGGGUGGUGAAAAAUGUAUUCCAUGCGACCUUCUGCUGGGAUGUGCUGCCCUUUUGGGGAAAGACUUCUUGCUUCGUGUCUGCUGGAGCCAAUGCUUCAGGGUGGGGUGCUUGCCCGGGAAGACUCUAAAAGGCAGAGGGGGAAAGGAGGAAGAAGGGAGAGCUAGGGGCCAGGGGAUG
rnacentral:lncRNA from 1 species